rnacentral:rRNA from 1 species
UACGUAGGGUGCAAGCGUUAAUCGGAAUUACUGGGCGUAAAGCGUGCGCAGGCGGUUUUGUAAGUCUGUCGUGAAAAUCCCCCGGGCUCAACCUGGGAAUUGCGAUGGAGACUGCAAGGCUGGAGUCUGGCAGAGGGGGGGUAGAAUUCCACGUGUAGCAGUGAAAUGCGUAGAGAUGUGGAGGAACACCGAUGGCGAAGGCAGCCCCCCUGGGUCAAGACUGACGCUCAUGCACGAAAGCGUGGGGAGCAAACAGG